rnacentral:lncRNA from 1 species
UAAUGUAGUAAUUAUCCAAGUAUGUAUUUUUGGUUAUGUGUUGGGACCCAAUUAUUAAUUGGGUGUUAUUUUGGUGUUGACAGUUCGGGAAUCUGUCAUCCAGCAGCUGGGGUUGAGUCUGCGGGACUUCAACAAUGUAGGGUUAUGUCUACGGGACUUCAGCAGUGUGAGGUGAGUUUUCUUCCAGUAGGAAUGGGUCUACGGCCACAAUGUCGACCCGUUUAGUUAGCAUUAGUUACGGACUACGGUCUGAUGCAGUAGUUAGAGUGCUUGAUGUCUUUGUGAUUCAAGCAUGUUUUGUGUUACGUGUUCCGGACUCUGGUCCGAUGUAGUAUGUAGUGUAUGUGUUCAUGCUAGUUGAUAUGUUUAUGCUAUGGUCGGUCAGUUUCCGGACUUUGGUCCGAUACAGGGGACGGGGUCCUAGUCAGUUCCGGACUUCGGUCCGAUGCAGUUUUCGAACUUCGGGCCGAUGNCGGUCCGAUGCAGUUUUCGAACUUCGGUCCGAUGUAGUGGGAAAGGCCCAAUAUGUGUUUAUAUGUUAUUGUAUGGUAUGUGGUAGUUUGGGGGAGCUCACUAAGCUUCGUGCUUACAGUUUCAGUUUUGGUUUCAGGUACUCAGUUUUCAAAAGAGGAGCACGUGAAGGUUGUAGUGCACACACCAUUUGUUCAGCCUAGGAUGUUUAUACUCUGAUACACAUGACAGUUGUUAUAAUAUUUGAGAUAUAUUGCUUAUGAUUUUUAUAUGAGGUUUAUCAACUCUGGUUUUUAUUAUAAAAUUAAACGAAAUUUUCAGACUGUGUUUUUGGGACGUUUCAAGUUGGUAUCAGAGCCUUGGUUUGAGGAAUUCGGGCACACUUCCGGGUGUGUCUGAACUCAAACUAAGGAAGUGGUAUAAAGUUUAUAAGAGAAAAACCAUGUUUACAAAAGAAUUUUGAGAAAAGAAAACAAUUUUAGAAAAAAGUAUAAAGAAAAGAGUUUUAGAAAAACCGAAAAGAAUUUUGAAAAGAGAAAAGGGUGUGGUGCAUGCAAUCAUCCGAGCUAAAGUAAGUACUCCCAAAGUACCCAUACAAGUUCAUAUGAUAUGUGUAUCAGCUUUAUGAGAACCGCAUGCUAGAUUAGAACGAAGGAUCUAGGAAUGAUGCCUUAUGUGCCUAUUAUAUGUGUACCAGCUUAUUGAGAACUGCAUGCUAGUACAGAUUAGUUAGUAUGAUAGCCAGAGUAGUAUAUGCUUGAUUAUGUGUACUCAACGCCCGAAUGCUGCUUGCUUUGUGAUUUUUGGAGUUCUAGUUGUCUUCCAAUAACUAUAAACAAAUAUGUUAAGCUACAUAUUGCAAGGACUAAGUAAUUUCAGAAGGUUAGUUCUAGCUCUAUUGCACAACACUUGUUUGAGUCCAACCGUUGUAGGGUAGGAUCUUUCAUUUGAAGAAUUAUCUAUUCUAAGUAAUAUGUGAUAGUAUUCGCGAGCUAGUUAGGGAAAUAAAGCAGGGACUUCUUAUGCAGCUGAUGGCGGAGAGUGGGUUGGUGAUUACCCUAGGCCAAGCCUCGGAUGAGAUUAGCAAGAGAUCAACAGUAGUAGUAGAAGGGACUUGGUGGAGUCGAGGCAGUACUUGAGGAUAGUACGGAUAGAUGUGGAAGGUAGUAGGGGCCCAUACUACUGAAAGCAGAGGAUCUGUACUCGAAUCAAGGAAGGCUGAGAUAAGACCAGAGAACUUGUAGUGUGUGAGAUCCCUCAAGUUUUGAUGAGUAUUAUGAUGAUCGUGAUGGACCAGAUGGUAGUUCUGGUGUCGAC